UACGAAGGGGGCUAGCGUUACUCGGAAUUAUUGGGCGUAAAGCGUGCGCAGGCUGUUUGGUAAGUUGGAAGUGAAAGCCCAAAGCUUAACUUUGGAAUUGCUUUCAAAACUGCCUUACUAGAGUACUGAAUGGGAUAGCGGAAUUCCUAGUGUAGAGGUGAAAUUCGUAGAUAUUAGGAGGAACACCGGUGGCGAAGGCGGCUAUCUGGUCAGAUACUGACGCUGUUGCACGAAAGCGUGGGGAGCAAACAGG
rnacentral:rRNA from 1 species